rnacentral:lncRNA from 1 species
CUCGCUGUCUUGAGCUUCUUCAUCGAGUUCUGGAACCGUUCUUCAGGAGACCCCCCCAUAUUUGGAUCAACCGGAGAAGGGUGGCCAACCAAAACUUUUGUCUUCUUAUCAUACUGGAAACGACCGUCUAGCUUAGUAGAGAACAUCCGCAUCCUCUUGCUCCGUCUACCCGGUAUCGCUACUGGGAGCUAUGAUAAACAAUCGGAUAACAAACAAUAAAAGUCCCAAAAGUAAUACAUAAAGUAUCUAGUAAUUUAAUAGUUAUCUGGCAACUUAUGUGUUACCUUCUNNNNNNNNNNNNNNNNNNNNNNNNNNNNNNNNNNNNNAGAGGAGGCGUCAUACAAGCCUGCGAUAAAAGUGACAGAAACAUCUGGGCACAACGUAAAUACAGAUUGAGGCUUAAUUUAGAAUAGAAUAUUGGUACACAAACCUGUUCUGAUUCCUGAAGAACUGUAUCCUGUGCUUCGGUAUCUGGCUGUUUGGUGACACAAGUUCAAUAGUUGCGGAAUGAUAAACACAUUAAUAACGAUGCCGGAAAACAGUGAUCAUGUUGGUAACAAUGUAACCAAUUUCGACGGAAACCAUAACAAGUAAAUGCACCCAUGUACUGGCAUGAUAUUAAUAUUUUGAAAAAGUUUUAUCGCAAACGGAUAUAGGCUUUUUAACCGACGGAAAUUGACCGCAAGUAGACCCAUUAUCAAUUGUUAUCCGAUAAAAUGCAAAUUAUCUCAUAUGAAAGAUAAUACUUAUACCCAUGUAAAGAUUAUCAAAU